rnacentral:rRNA from 1 species
GGGACUGUAUCCAGAGUACCACGAGACACGUGAAACCUUGUGGGAAGCAGGGGGGACCACCCUCCAAGCCAAAAUACUGAUAUCGACCGAUAGCGCAUAGUACCGUGAGGGAAAGGUGAAAAGAACCCCUGGCGGGGAGUGAAAGAGAACCUGAAACCGUAUGUCUACAAACAGUCGAAGUCUGUAUAUAUAUCAGGACGACGGCGUGCCUAUUGAAGAAUGAACCGACGAGUUACUGUUGCUAGCGAGGUUAAGUGGAAAACAUGGAGCCGCAGCGAAAGCGAGUCUGAACAGGGCGUUCAGUUAGUAAUAGUAGACCCGAAACCGUAGUGAUCUAUCCAUGGCCAGGUUGAAGCACAGGUAAAAUUGUGUGGAGGACCGAACUCGUGAGCGUUGAAAAGCUUUGGGAUGAGUUGUGGAUAGGGGUGAAAUGCCAAUCGAACACGGAGAUAGCUGGUUCUCCCCGAAAUAGCUUUAGGGCUAGCCUCGAGGUAGAGAGUAUAGGCGGUAGAGCACUGAUCGGGCUAGGGGCCAUACCGGUUACCGAACCUAGUCAAACUACGAAUGGCUAUACUUAUACUCGGGAGUCAGACAGUGAAUGAUAAGGUCCAUUGUCAAGAGGGAAACAGCCCAGAACACCGACUAAGGUCCCCAAUGUUACACUAAGUGGCGAAGGAUGUGGAAUUUCCAAAACAACCAGGAUGUUGGCUUAGAAGCAGCCACCAUUUAAAGAGUGCGUAAUAGCUCACUGGUCGAGAGACUCUGCGCCGAAAAUGUCCGGGGCUAAAGUGUAAAACCGAAGUCGUGUCAUAUGCAGCAAUGUAUAUGGGUAGGGGAGCGUUCUCAUCGGGCUGAAGCAGUACCGUAAGGAGUUGUGGACUGAUGAGAAGUGAGAAUGUCGGUAUGAGUAGCGAAAAGAAUGGUGAGAAUCCAUUCCACCGAAAGCCUAAGGGUUCCUGAGCAACGAUCGUCGUCUCAGGGUAAGUCGGGACCUAAGCCGAGGCGGAAAAGCGUAGGCGAUGGACAACAGGUUGAAAUUCCUGUACCGGUGUGAAUCGUUUGAUCGAUGGAGUGACACAGUAAGGUAGGUCAGCACGCGAUUGGAAGAGCGUGUUUAAGCAGGUAGGUUGAG